rnacentral:rRNA from 1 species
UACGGGGGGAGCAAGCGUUGUUCGGAUUUACUGGGCGUAAAGGGCGCGUAGGCGGUCAGCACAAGUCAGUUGUGAAAUCUCCGGGCUUAACUCGGAAAGGUCAACUGAUACUGUGCGACUAGAGUGCAGAAGGGGCAACUGGAAUUCUUGGUGUAGCGGUGAAAUGCGUAGAUAUCAAGAGGAACACCUGAGGUGAAGACGGGUUGCUGGGCUGACACUGACGCUGAGGCGCGAAAGCUAGGGGGAGCAAACGGG